UACAGAGGUCCCAAGCGUUGUUCGGAUUCACUGGGCGUAAAGGGUGCGUAGGUGGCCGGGUAAGUCUGAUGUGAAAUCUCGAAGCCUAACUUCGAAACUGCAUCGGAUACUAUCUGGCUUGAGGUCUGGAGGGGGGACUGGAAUUCUCGGUGUAGCAGUGAAAUGCGUAGAUAUCGAGAGGAACGCCAAUGGCGAAGGCUAGUCCCUGGACAGAUCCUGACACUGAGGCACGAAAGCUAGGGGAGCAAACAGG
rnacentral:rRNA from 1 species